rnacentral:rRNA from 1 species
AAGUCGAACGCAGUAGCAAUACUGAGUGGCAAACGGGUGAGUAUAAUGUGGGAAUCUGCCUUUUGGUUUGGAAUAACACGGGGAAACUUGUGCUAAUACCGAAUAAGCCCUUACGGGGAAAGUUUUAACGCCGAAAGAUGAGCCCGCACUUGAUUAGCUAGUUGGUAAGGUAAAAGCUUACCAAGGCAACGAUCAAUAGCUGUUCUUAGAGGAAGACCAGCCACAUUGGGACUGAGACACGGCCCAGACUCCUACGGGAGGCAGCAGUGGGGAAUCUUGCACAAUGGGGGAAACCCUGAUGCAGCGAUGCCGCGUGAGUGAAGAAGGCCCUUGGGUUGUAAAACUCUUUCGUCGGGGAAGAAAAUGACUGUACCCGAAUAAGAAGGUCCGGCUAACUUCGUGCCAGCAGCCGCGGUAAUACGAAGGGACCUAGCGUAGUUCGGAAUUACUGGGCUUAAAGAGCUCGUAGGUGGUUAAAAAAGUUGGUGGUGAAAUCCCAAGGCUCAACCUUGGAACUGCCAUCAAAACUUUUUAGCUAGAGUGUGAUAGAGGUAAGUGGAAUUUCUAGUGUAGAGGUGAAAUUCGUAGAUAUUAGAAAGAACACCAAAUGCGAAGGCAACUUACUGGGUCACUACUGACACUGAGGAGCGAAAGCAUGGGUAGCGAAGAGGAUUAGAU